rfam:Dipodomys ordii contig_64931, whole genome shotgun sequence.
GGUGGCUCAGUGGUAGAGCGCUUGACUUGCAUCCAUGAGGCUCUGGGUUCAAUUCCCCAGCACCA